rnacentral:rRNA from 1 species
CGGCGUGCUUAACACAUGCAAAGUCGUGCGGGAAAACGGGACUUUCGGGUCCUGAGUAGAGCGGCGCACCGGGUGCGUAAGACGCGGGUGACCUAUCCGCGAGGCGGGGGAUAACCCUUCGAAAGAGGGGCUAAUACCGGAUGCGCCCCCGGGCAGAGAUGCCCGGGGGCAAAGGGUGCUCUUUGAUAGGGCAUCCCCUCGUGGCGGGGCCCCGCGGCCUAUCAGCUCGUUGGUAAGGUAAUGGCUUACCAAGGCGAAGACGGGUAGCUGGUCUGAGAGGAUGGCCAGCCACACGGGGACUGAGACACGGCCCCGACUCCUACGGGAGGCAGCAGUGGGGAAUAUUGGGCAAUGGGCGCAAGCCUGACCCAGCGACGCCGCGUGGGUGAUGAAGGCCUUCGGGUCGUAAAGCCCUGUCGGGUGGGAAGAAUGACUGUGGGGCGAAUAGCUCUACGGUGUGACGGUACCACCGAAGGAAGCACCGGCCAAUUCCGUGCCAGCAGCCGCGGUAA